rnacentral:snoRNA from 1 species
AAACCAUGGUGAGGGCAUUGAGUAGUGUAGCCCUUCAAGCGUUCCCAAGCUUCAGAAAAUGAUUCAGAAUGCCUCUGUGUGAAACCCGAGAUUUCAUUCCUCAAUCU